rnacentral:lncRNA from 1 species
GAUAACAACAUUUGAUUAAUCGAAUUUUCCGCCAUUUCUUCAUUUAGCCUAACCUUCUUUUGUCCUUUCUGCGUAUUCAAAUAAAGUGAGAUAUUUUUAGUUAGCUUCUAUGUAGUUGUGUAUUCGAUCUUGUCCUUUGGGGUCUUUUCUUAAGGCGUAUUGUGGCUGUUCUCGAUCUUCUCACUGGCCGGUCACUUUGGCACGUACUCCCACAUGUCCAUCCAAGCAAGAACAUACUGUAAACACUCGGUCUUUUAAAUCAGCACUCAAGCAUCU